CCAGGAGCUCCCAACGAAGAAAGCAGCCCCCUCCCCUCACACAGAGCGGGAAGUAGCAGAGGAGUCCCGGGGGAGGGCCACUGUGGGGAAAGGGUCAGUGAAAGGAAGACGAUGCCAAGGCUGGAUAAAGGGAAGCUUAGAUUUAUUGAGCGCCUACUGUGUGCCAGGCAGUGUGCAAGGCGCUUUACAUACAUUAUCGCAUUAAAUCCUCACAACAACCCUGCGAGGUAGGUGUUUAUAAACCCCCAUUUGACAGAUGAGGAAACUGAGGCUCAGGGAGGUGAAGUGAUGUGGCCAAGUUCACAUGGCUAAUAAAUGGCAGACAGAGGAGGUGAGCCCUCCUUCUGCUUUGUUGGUUGUUGCUGGACCUAUGCCUCUUCUCCCAAGAACCCCUCUGUCAUCUGA
rnacentral:lncRNA from 1 species